UACAGAGGUCCCAAGCGUUGUUCGGAUUCAUUGGGUGUAAAGGGUGCGUAGGCGGCGCGGUAAGUCGGGUGUGAAAUCUCGGGGCUUAACUCCGAAACUGCAUUCGAUACUGCCGUGCUUGAGGACUGGAGAGGAGACUGGAAUUUACGGUGUAGCGGUGAAAUGCGUAGAUAUCGUAAGGAAGACCAGUGGCGAAGGCGGGUCUCUGGACAGUUCCUGACGCUGAGGCACGAAGGCCAGGGGAGCAAACGGG
rnacentral:rRNA from 1 species